UUGGAUGGCCUCAGUAAGUCAAAGAGUAGCAUACCCAAUUGGUUGAUGAUAGAAGGAAGAACAUCUUGUAGCUCUGUCAAGUCAAACCAUGAAUUUAAUAAGUAAUCACGAAGACAACAACAUAUUAGGAUACACACGGGUUUUUGUAGCAGACAUGUCAGGAAGGGAAAACCAAAGUGCAUAGCUUCAUAUUACAAAGGCUAAUCAGGUGCACACAGAGAUGAGUAGG
rnacentral:lncRNA from 1 species